UACGUAGGGACCAAGCGUUGUUCGGAUUUACUGGGCGUAAAGGGCGCGUAGGCGGCGCGGUAAGUCACUUGUGAAAUCUCUGGGCUUAACUCGGAACGGUCAGCUGAUACUGCUUUGCUAGAGUGCAGAAGGGGCAAUCGGAAUUCUUGGUGUAGCGGUGAAAUGCGUAGAUAUCAAGAGGAACACCUGAGGUGAAGACGGGUUGCUGGGCUGACACUGACGCUGAGGCACGAAAGCUAGGGGAGCAAACGGG
rnacentral:rRNA from 1 species